rnacentral:rRNA from 1 species
UCAAGCGACUAAGUGUAUGUGGUGGAUGCCUUGGCGAUUACAGGCGAUGAAGGACGUCGCAGCCUGCGAAAAGCCGUGGGGAGCUGGCAAGCGAGCACUGAUCCACGGAUGUCCGAAUGAGGGAACUCACCCGCAAGGGUAUCUUGAAGUGAAUACAUAGCUUCAAGAGGCGAACGCAGCGAACUGAAACAUCUAAGUAGCUGCAGGAAAAGAAAUCAACCGAGAUUCUGAAAGUAGCGGCGAGCGAAAUUGGAAGAGCCUGCAAGUGAUAUUGAAUUCGAUACUGGAACGGUCUGGAAAGUCCGGCUACAGAGGGUGAUAGCCCCGUACAGGAAAUUGGGUUCAAAGUACUGAGCUUGCGAGAAGUAGAGCGGGACACGUGAAAUCCUGCUCGAAGAUGGGGGGACCAUCCUCCAAGGCUAAAUACUCGUAAUCGACCGAUAGCGAACCAGUACUGUGAAGGAAAGGCGAAAAGAACCCCGGGAGGGGAGUGAAAUAGAACCUGAAACUGCAUACAUACAAACAGUAGGAGCCCGCAAGGGUGACUGCGUACCUUUUGCAUAAUGGGUCAGCGACUUACGUUUUGCGGCGAGCUUAACCGAGUAGGGGAGGCGCAGCGAAAGCGAGUUCGAACAGAGCGACAGAGUCGUAAGGCGUAGACCCGAAACCAGAUGAGCUAUCCAUGGUCAGGUUGAAGGUGUGGUAACACACACUGGAGGACCGAACCGACCGGUGUUGCAAAACCGGCGGAUGAACUGUGGAUAGGGGUGAAAGGCUUAACAAAUCUGGAGAUAGCUGGUUCUCCCCGAAAACUAUUGAGGUAGUGCCUCGUGAAUGACUGCCGGGGGUAGAGCACUGUUAUGGCUAGGGGGACAUGGCGUCUUACCAAACCAUGGCAAACUCCGAAUACUGGCAAGUUGAAUCACGGGAGACAGAGCACCGGGUGCUAACGUCCGGACUCAAAAGGGAAACAACCCAGACCGCCGUUUAAGGUCCCUAAUAACAGCUAAGUGGAAAACGAAGUGUGAAGGCUAAGACAGUCAGGAAGUUGGCUUAGAAGCAGCCAUCCUUCAAAGAAAGCGUAAUAGCUCACUGAUCGAGUCCUCAUGCGCGGAAGAUGUAACGGGGCUAAGCUGUUAACCGAAAGCGCGGAUUUCCAAGCAAUUGGAAGUGGUAGGGGAGCGUUCUGUAAGCCGACGAAGGUGAUUCGUAAGGAUUGCUGGAGGUAUCAGAAGUGCGAAUGCUGACAUGAGUAACGAUAAAGCGGGUGAAAAGCCCGCUCGCCGUAAGCCCAAGGUUUCCUGCUCUACGUUCAUCGGAGCAGGGUGAGUCGGCCCCUAAGGCCAGGCUGAGAAGCGUAGUCGAUGGGAAGCUGAUUAAUAUUUCAGCACCACUGUUGAGUGCGAAGGGGGGACGGAGUUUUGCAAGUAAUCCGGGUGUUGGAUGUCCCGGUUGGCGAGCGUAGGAGGUGAGCAGGCAAAUCCGCUCACGCAUCUCCGAGACGAAGCCUCGAGGUCCUUUAGGACUGAAGUUACCGAAUGAACUUCCAGGAAAAGCCUCUAAGCUCCAGCUCAACGGUGACCGUACCGUAAACCGACACAGGUGGGCGAGUUGAAUAUACUCAGGCGCUUGAGAGAACUCGGGAGAAGGAACUCGGCAAAUUGACACCGUAACUUCGGGAUAAGGUGUGCCUUGGUAGCGUGAAAGGAGAAACUCCCCAAGCGUGAAGAGGUCACAGAAAAUAGGGGGCUGCGACUGUUUACUAAAAACACAGCACUCUGCAAAGACGAAAGUCGACGUAUAGGGUGUGAUGCCUGCCCGGUGCCGGAAGAUUAAGUGAUGGGGUGAGAGCUCCUGAUCGAAGUCCCGGUAAACGGCGGCCGUAACUAUAACGGUCCUAAGGUAGCGAAAUUCCUUGUC